rnacentral:rRNA from 1 species
GACGAACGCUGGCGGCGUGCUUAACACAUGCAAGUCGAGCGGUAAGGCCCUUUCGGGGGUACACGAGCGGCGAACGGGUGAGUAACACGUGGGUGACCUGCCCUCAGCUCUGGGAUAAGCCUGGGAAACCGGGUCUAAUACCGGAUAUGACUCCAUGACGCAUGUUGUGGGGUGGAAAGCCUUGUGCGGCUGAGGAUGGGCCCGCGGCCUAUCAGCUUGUUGGUGGGGUGAUGGCCUACCAAGGCGACGACGGGUAGCCGGCCUGAGAGGGCGACCGGCCACACUGGGACUGAGACACGGCCCAGACUCCUACGGGAGGCAGCAGUAAGGAAUAUUGCGCAAUGGGCGAAAGCCUGACGCAGCGACGCCGCGUGGGGAUGAAGGUCUUCGGAUUGUAAACCCCUUUCGGGAGGGAAGGAUGGAACGAGCAAUCGUUCGGACGGUACCUCCAGAAGCAGCCACGGCUAACUUCGUGCCAGCA